CUCCCGCUGCUCCCGGCCACGCCAGGCGCUGCGACAGCGACAGCGACAGCCACGCUGCCCGAGCCCCUCGUCGCCAGUCGUGCCCUCCCCCGUGCGGGUGCCAGCUCAAGGCUCAGCCCCAAACUGGGACGGUCACAUACCACGGGCGAGGCUGGGCUGGGCUGGGUGUCCUGCUCAGGGCCACUGGGAUCAUCCUGGAAUUAUCCACAAAGGGAAUGCCAGGAGCUCUGCCAGCAGCAGGUGAAGCCUCCCGGUGGCACCUCAGUGGGGACACCUCCGUCUGUGACAUCUCUGUGCCUGGGAGCUGAGUUUUGGGAAGGGGCAGCUCAUGUUCCCUGUGCUCCCAAGGCUGAUCCAGGCUGGAAUUCUCCAGCGGGAGCCGCACGGAGCUCGGAGCCAGCUCCCCGCCCCGGUUGCACAAGCGGCCCCGGGGCGCAGCGACGAUCCCAGCCUGUUUACCACCGCAGCCACCUGCUGCUCCCCCGGCUCCCAGCGCCCUGCCCGAGCCCGGCAGGAAGAGCUGGAGCUCCUGGAUCCAGCCCCUAUAGCUGGACAGGGCCACCAGCUGUCCCCAGAGUCCCCAGGGACAAGCACAGGGCAUGGUGACAAUCCCCAGGACAGGGGGGUGCAGCGCCCUGAGCCUCAGCAUCCCCCAGAGGUGUUUUGGAAAAGCAAAUUGGGAUGGAGUGGGAUGAGGAUUUCCUCCCCAGGGCCACCCCGAGGAUUUUGGCUCCUGGGGACAGCACCCACCGUGUCCCUGGUAUGAAAAUCCCCCCUGAGCAGCUCCCACGAGGCCUGGCAGCAGCCAAAUCACCUUCCAGCACCCCCAAAAAUCCCCGGGGGUGGAGCAGAGAAACUCCAGCACGGGCUGGGGCUCCUGCCAGCACAGAGGGAGAUGUGGGGGAGAUGGAGGAGAAACUGGGAGCCUCUCCAUGAGUGUUUUGAAUGCACAACCAUCAAA